AUUACACAGAAUGACAAACGUUAUACCAAUCAAUCCUUUAAAAAAAAUAUAAGACACCUAACUGAUAUUUAGAAAUGACAUCCUAAUUGAUGCAAAAGGUAGGCCUAGGUUACUGUUGGCAUGAUAUGUUUGUAAUUUUAUGGAGGUAUGUGUGUCAGAGUCUUAGACACAGUGCAUCACAUUUCUUCCUUUCUGUCCUUUCAGUGCAGCUUUUCAGUUUUUUUUUUUUAAUAGGGAAACCUCAUCAACAAGCACAUAUUUGGUUGUUCACCUUUACUUGUAGUUGGGUGCAGUGAGUGGAAUAGCGGAACUACGCCUACAUGUUAGCUGAACAGUUAUUUCAGAGAUUGUAUGUGGCCUCACCUCGGUUCCCAGAUUGAUUGAGCUGCUGUCUGUGCAACAAGUAUGACUCAUCAUUUAACCACUACCAUAACAUUUUUCUUUUUGAUGCUACAACAAGUACAUACAGGAAGACUAACUUAACUCACGAAACCAGUUUUGUUCCUUAGACCACAGGACAUUUCGCAAUAGUCUUGCUAAACUCGAUGCACGUGGUGGAAGCUUGCAUGUCAUGUCCUUUAAGUUUAGACAGACCUGGUCAUGAAAUAUGGUCUAACUGCAGCCUUUGAUAUGGCAUCCAAGCCUGUUGCUGCACUUGACAGUGAGGGGACAGUGCAUUGACAUUAGGUGUCUUUUGUUAGUUUUGGAUUUUGCAUGGCUUGUCGACAUGGACUGACUCAAACAUUUCUACACAAUUAUCAGCUAGCUAGCCAGCUGAAAAAUAAGCCAAACUAAGCAGGAGUAGGGAUGGUUCUUCAUGACCUGAGUGAAGUUUUUCCAAGUUAAAUGUUAAUGUGGGUGGUAGUAAAUAGGCACAAUGUAAUAGUUUUAUGGGUGAAAAUGGGCGUCAUCUGUAGAUACACAUUUUUAAAAUGAUAAACCUCAAAAUGAUAAUUUAAAGCAAAUUAUUUUGCCAACCCUUUGGCUAUGGGGAGCCUUGGUGUUGGGUCCCCGGACCCCACUAGCCAAACAAGAAUAGUGGACUGAGCCCUAAACAACUCCAGCUAAUCAACACAUGGCUUUGUGAGCAUGCAAGGGAUAGGUGGAGUUUGGUCCGCAGAAUUGGGCUGUUUAAACACUGCCCACACUUAAACACUGUCAUAUUAUGUGGAGGUAGGCUACAUUAUGGCCAUGGUUUGUUGUGGUCUGCAUUUUACCCAAUUAUUGUUUGUGUUGUACUGAAAAACAAACUUUUUUAUGUUUGUCUCAAACUUGGUUCCACUUAUCUGUCAGCUGUGUGCAAGUCGGCAGUGUGAAAUGUUUCCAAUCAUAGUGCUAGGAGGACUAGGAGACGGUAGGUGUCUGAGAAAAUAUUUAUGUUGUUGGGAUUCCAAGAAGUGGUCUGUAAUACAAGCUCUCUGUUAGAUAUCACAGCUCUGAAGCUGAUUAGCGUUGUUUUGAGUUUCCAUUGUGGAUUGUCACAGGCUUUAUUAUUUUCUUCUCAGAGUUGUAGUUGAAAGUUGGAAAGUGUAAACAUGAGUAUACUGUUGUUGAAAUGAAAGAAAACAUAUUGGCCCUUCCUUCUGCAGUUGAACUGCUCUAAAUAGUGCAAAAGAGUCAAUGAAGAGGUGGUCUCUUUGGCAGUGCCGUAUGUGUCCUGGGUUUAGUAGAUAGACUUCAGAGAGCUGCAGACUGGGAAACAGAUGCUACAGCUAGAGCUACACUGGAUCAGUACCUGGUCCAGUCCAGUGUUUUAUUCUCGGUGGUCCCUAAGCCGGUGAUCCUCAGCUGUCCUUGGCUACACUCUGACCUUCUGUCCUGACAUCAGAUCUCUCACGUCUGUAAAGCUGCUCACCACCUCCAGCAUGACAAGCCAGCAAAUGCUCGAUCCAUACCAGGAAUAUUCAUGAUGAAAGUGAAUUCACCGUUCUGGGGCACGUGUGUGUUGCACGUAGGUGUCAUGUUUGGGCUCCGGUUAGAGAAAAGCUGCAGGCAUUGGAGCUAUGUGUCCCUCCACCCACAGGGUGGUGGUAUGGCGUAUCAGAGACACCUCCAUGUUUCAUUUCAAGGGCAUUGCUGAUGGGAGAUGAAGGUGAAAGCUUGAAAUGUGAGGCACAGCAAGUAUUUCUCAAAGGAGAGAAGAGAAGAGAAGAGAAGACACACACACACACACACACACACACACACACACACACACACACACACACACACACACA